rnacentral:misc_RNA from 1 species
GUCGUGGGAUUUUGUUGAAUGCGGUGGCUACCCAGUUGAAGAAAACUGGGAGCUCCGGCCGGGUUGUCGGGUUGGACCGCUCUAAACGGACCACUCUGUCCACUCUCCGAACAGCUAACAUGGAAGGAGUAGGAGAGUAUGUUACAUGUAGAGAAGGUGAUGUGAGAAGCUUACCCUUUGUAGACAACUAUUUUGAUGUGGUGGUGUCAGCUGUUUUUGUUCAUAAAGUAGGAAAAGAAUACGGCCAUCGGACGGUGGAGGCAGCGGCAGAGAGAAUGAGGGCAUUGGGUGAGAU